rnacentral:rRNA from 1 species
AGUAACGCGUGGGUAACCUGCCCUUAAGUCUGGGAUACCAUUUGGAAACAGAUGCUAAUACCGGAUAAAAGCUACUUUCGCAUGAAAGAAGUUUAAAAGGCGGCGUAAGCUGUCGCUAAAGGAUGGACCUGCGAUGCAUUAGCUAGUUGGUAGGGUAACGGCCUACCAAGGCGAUGAUGCAUAGCCGAGUUGAGAGACUGAUCGGCCACAUUGGGACUGAGACACGGCCCAAACUCCUACGGGAGGCAGCAGCC